rnacentral:rRNA from 1 species
UACGAAGGGGGCUAGCGUUGCUCGGAAUCACUGGGCGUAAAGCGCACGUAGGCGGACUCUUAAGUCGGUGGUGAAAUCCUGGAGCUCAACUCCAGAACUGCCUUCGAUACUGGGAGUCUCGAGUCCGGGAGAGGUGAGUGGAACUGCGAGUGUAGAGGUGAAAUUCGUAGAUAUUCGCAAGAACACCAGUGGCGAAGGCGGCUCACUGGCCCGGUAC